ACAAAAUUUAAAGCAUCUCUGUUAGGUAUAGAAAUUCAAACUAUCAAAACAUGAAUCAGGCUUAGUAAAAUAUCCUUUCCUCCAUCUGUCCAUACCCCAAAUCCAGUGCUUUUUUCUCUGUGAACAUCAAUGUCCAGGAUGAUGUGAAUUGCUGAACAUUUUUUUCCCCAUAGGACAACAGGGACCCAGAGAUAAAGGGCACUGAAGACUGGGAGGAUAUCUGUGCUGAGAUGGAAAAGAAUAGAAAAUGACAUGGAGAAAGAAAUAAGCUACAGAUAAAGGUGGCUCCCCAGAAAGGACAAAAUCAAAGACAACAUUUUAGAGCCAGCCAAAGAGGACUUUUUUUCACUAGCGUCAAAGAAGGCUUUAGUCUCCAGUCCUCGGCUCUUGUUAUGUCUUUCCCCACUAGACAGAGGAGUCCUUUGGUACCCACUGAGAUAUCCAGGAAGGAAAUAUGCACUCUCAUCAAUUGUCCUCUAUAUCUUUCUGGUGCAAAUCCACAGAUAUUGCAGAAAACUUCCUUUGCUGUGACCUCAAAGAAACAUUGCUGGUUUCUACCGACUCCCAUCGGUUUCUACUAAGGCACUAAGUCACCAUCCUGCUCAGCCAUGUACCCCAGCGGGACAUCUCUUCAGAGCCACUUA
rnacentral:lncRNA from 1 species